AACCUGGUUGAUCUUGCCAGUAGUCAUAUGCUUGUCUCACAGAUUAAGCCAUGCAAGUGAAAGUACAUAUGUAAAUAAUAUAUUGAAACUGCGAACGGCUCAUUAAAACAGUUAUAAUCUACUUGAUGUUUUUAAUAUAAGGAUAACUACGGAAAAUCUGUAGCUAAUACUUGUGAAAAUACCUUUUGAUAUAUACAUAUAUAUAUAUAUGUAUGUAUCAUUAAGGUAUGUAUUUGUUAGAUAUAAGAAUAAAAUAAAUAUAAUUGAAUUAUAACAAAGAAGAAACACAUAAAAUAUGUGUAUUAUCAAUCGAGUAUCUGACCUAUCAGCUUUUGAUGUUAGGGUAUUGACCUAACAUGGCUAUGACGGGUAACGGGGAAUUAGAGUUCGAUUCCGGAGAGGGAGCCUGAGAAAUAGCUACCACAUCUAAGGAAGGCAGCAGGCGCGUAAAUUACCCAAUUCUAAAAAAGAGAGGUAGUGACAAGAAAUAACAAUACAAUAUCGAAAAAUGAUUUUGUAAUUGGAAUGAUAGGAAUUUACAAGGUUCCUAGAGAAACAAUUGGAGGGCAAGUCUGGUGCCAGCAGCCGCGGUAAUUCCAGCUCCAAUAGCAUAUAUUAAAAUUGUUGCAGUUAAAACGUUCGUAGUUGAAUAUUAAAGAAUCCGAUGUUUCAUUUAAACUGGUUUGGGAAAACCAAAUAUAUUAUAUAUUUUGCUUUGUUCAAAAUAAGGUUUUCUAAUAAAUUAUGUUUUUAUCAGAUAUGACAGAAUCUUUUUUAAAAUCUCUUCAAUAUGCUUUUAUUGCUUUUGAGAGGUUUUGUUACUUUGAGUAAAAUUAAGUGUUCAUAACAGACGGGUAGUCAUGAUUGAGUUCAUUGUGUUUGAAUACUACAGCAUGGAAUAACAAAUAUGAAUAAGCUAAUUAUUUUUUUUUUUCAUAAUUUUUUUUGAUAUUCUUAUUAGCUUAGUUACGAUUAAUAGGAGUAGCUUUGGGGGCAUUCGUAUUCAGAUGUCAGAGGUGAAAUUCUAAGAUUUUCUGGAGACGGACUACUGCGAAAGCAUUUGCCUAAUCUAUUUCCAUUAAUCAAGAACGAAAGUUAAGGGAGUGAAGACGAUCAGAUACCGUCGUAAUCUUAACCAUAAACUAUACCGACUAGGUGUUGGAUGAAUAUAAAAAAUAUAUAAAUAUGUAGCAUUUCUUAGGGAAUGUUGAUUUUAUAUUAGAAUUGCUUCCUUCAGUACCUUAUGAGAAAUCAAAGUCUUUGGGUUCUGGGGCGAGUAUUCGCGCAAGCGAGAAAGUUAAAAGAAUUGACGGAAGGGCACCACCAGGCGUGGAGCUUGCGGCUUAAUUUGACUCAACACGGGAAAACUCACUAGUUUAAGACAAGAGUAGGAUUGACAGAUUAAUAGCUCUUUCUUGAUUUCUUGGAUGGUGAUGCAUGGCCGUUUUUAGUUCGUGAAUAUGAUUUGUCUGGUUAAUUCCGAUAACGAACGAGAUCUUAACCUGCUAAUUAGCGGUAAGUACACUAUAUUUUUAUUUGAAAUUGAAUAUAGGUAAUUAUACAUGUUUAUUCAGUGUUCAAAUUAGGAUAUUUUUUUAUUAAAAUAUUCUUUUCCCUGUUCUACUAUAAUAAUUUGUUUUUUUUUACUCUAUUUCUCUCUUCUUUUAAGAAUGUACUUGUUUGAUUAAAUAAAGCUUCUUAGAGGAACAGUGUGUAUCUAACACAAGGAAGUUUAAGGCAACAACAGGUCUGUGAUGUCCUUAGAUAAACUAGGCUGCACGCGUGCUACAAUGAUAUAUAUAACAAGUUGUUAAAAAUGUACUUAUAAAUAAGUGUGUACAGUUUUUCCUGUACUGAAAAGUAUAGGUAAUCUUUAUCAGUAUAUAUCGUAAUUGGGAUAGAUUAUUGCAAUUAUUAAUCUUGAACGAGGAAUGCCUAGUAAGCAUGAUUCAUUAGAUUGUGCUGACUACGUCCCUGCCCUUUGUACACACCGCCCGUCGCUCCUACCGAUUGAAAGAUAUGAUGAAUUGUUUGGAUAUGAAUUAAAAUAAUGAAAUUUUAUAUUUCUGAUUUUUUCUAGAAGAACUGUAAAUCCUAUCUUUUAAAGGAAGGAGAAGUCGUAACAAGGUUUCCGUAGGUGAACCUGCGGAAGGAUCAUUA
rfam:Plasmodium falciparum RAJ116 genomic scaffold supercont1.262, whole genome shotgun sequence.